rnacentral:precursor_RNA from 7 species
CCCUCCAGAAGAGAACUGACUAUGCCUCCUCGCAUCCCCUAGGGCAUUGGUGUAAAGCUGGAGACCCACUGCCCCAGGUGCUGCUGGGGGUUGUAGUCUGACCCAACUGUGAAGAAA